CUUCUUAUGCUGUCUGUAGUGCGUGGUUGUGCUCUUUCUUGCCUGGGUUUCUUUCAGCCACCACAUGCAAUAUAUCUUGCUGAAAUAGAAUCCUGCAAAAGGAGCCUUCUGCCUCUCUUGCUGAGCCAGCUGUGCUGUUAAUUGAAUGUGUUUGCCUCAUGAACCAGUAGCCCCCUAUGAUGGAGCAAUUGCACCAGUGAACAAAGGAAAAACUAUAAAUGUCAUCUACCUGGACCUUUGAUAAGGUCCCGCACAACGUUCUUACAUCUGUAUUGGAGAGAAGCAGUGCACCGGAGCCCUUCACUGACGCCCCAGUGAUCUGUGCAAGAAGUAGACACUUAUUCGCCUCCGGCCUAUAAACUGUGCAACCAACAAUGAAAUGCUUCCUCUUCCUUCUCGACUACAUGCAGGAUCACAUUCUGUCAGUGCCCAAGGGCCAGGAUCCACAGUGGAGUUCUUGCCCCCACACUGCUCCCACACGAAUGAGGUUGGGCCAGAAAAGAGCUUGGCUUUUUUCUGGGCACUGUCAGCACUCAUCAAAAUAACCACACGAUGGCGCUGUCGACUCACAAAACAAGGACACGCACGGAGCCCAGCUCGAAACCACCCCCAGGACACAGCCAAGUCAGAAACAUCCCUGCUCUCAAAUCAACUGUCGGAAGAACAAGAUUUCACUGAUUUCCCCUUCCAAGUGCAUACUUUUCUUUGCACCACACUCAAAGGGCAACGCCAAGUCCUCUGCCCUAACAAACUUUUUCACUCUCGUCGAGUCUGGUAACAAACUUGAAAACAUCUGCCAAAAACAGCUCGCAAAAGUGUCAGUGGAGAAAGCUCUUGGCUGCCUACAAUUUCAACUGCACCCAUCAAACUAUGAACACAUAUCCUGCUAUUGCCACUUUCCUUCUCAGCUCUAGGUACCAUCCUAAGCCUUCAGUCUCACUGAGUCAGGAUCCAAAUGGAAUGGUACCAGAGACUGCUCACACACUAAAGCUACAAAAACUCCAUGGCUUGGCCUCUGCAUUCCCACUGACAGUUCAACAUCUCUAACCCAGAGAACUGCCUAUUGGGAAAAGCCUUUAAAUUCACGUUGACCACUCAAAGUGCCCUCCAAACUUGCUUUCUUUGCCAAAGAGAGGAACUAGAAGCCCAUCUCAAAAGAAAUGGCAUCCCCUCCAAAAUCCAAAACAUCCAGGGACUGAUCUUAUACAAAGGGGUCAGAACACUGUUACUGGGCAUUACCUGCGCGGGGCACUAGAUCUGCUGCACACCAAGACCCAGCACAUCUGUUUACCUUGUCCAAAAGAAGUGUGCUGGCAGAAUUACAAGAAGGUUGCCUCGAGGAAGUGGAAAACACAUGCCAAAUGGAUUCUUUCAGGAGGCAGACCGCCUUCCAAAGAUGGAUACCAACUCCAUGAUUAUACAAAUUGAGUCAGUGCUUCCAAACCAAUGCUAGGACAGAAAGUUGCUGCCUCUCUUGAGCUGCAUGAUGCAGCUUCUUAUCUGCACCUUCAACACUGGGGCUACGUUCUUUCCUUUCCAUGAGAAAGCAUUGCCGUUCUCGUUCAGUAAGUUAGCAAGCGAAAGUUGCAUACCACAUCCAGUACUGACUAUGUCCAACAAUGGCUCCUACACAGAAGGGGCCAGGACAGAAAUGUCUUGCUGGCCUAUAUCUCCCCCAUGGUACCUUAACAUCUGCCCUACCAACAUUGGCACUAUAUAUUUUACAUCCCAAGGAAUGUCACUCCAAGUCACUUGGCCUUGCCUUGCCUCGCCUCCAGUACCAUGCCUAGUUUUCCUAACCUACCCUUGCUUUGCUUGCUUUGCCUAUGUCUGCCUUGCCUAGCUCUACAAACAACUUCCUGGCUUUGCUUUGCUUUGCCUACUGCUCUUUGCCUUGCCUUCCAUGCAGGUAAGGCAAUGCAAAGCAAGUGUAGGCAAUUGUAGGCAAGUCAAGGGAGAUGUUGGAAAGGCUGGUAGCAUGAGGGGAAAGCAAAUGGAGUGGUAAGUGGGAGAAGGCCCAGAAGUCAGAGGCAAGGCUGGGCAUAGGAAGGUAAGUCCAGUAAUGGCUAGGCCAGGCAGAAACAGGAAGGUCUAGACAAUGCAAGACCCUGGAGGAAAGAAGCAGCAAGGUGAAAGGUGGGGCAUGGGCAUGCGACAGAAUGCAACGCAAUAGAGGAUCAGCAGGGCAAGGCAAGGAAACUGUUGGGUGUCCAAAGCAAGGCAAGUGGCAGGUACGUUCAAAGAUUGCUGGUACACAAAAGCGGCCAGGACAGACUGCUCUGUCCGGCCUUGAUCUUGCAUGGGCCAUCUCUAAUCAGCACCUAAAACACUUGGGUUACCUGCUUUCCUUUGUAUGCAAAAGAACUGUCCUUCUGGUCCUGAAGCCCAAGGGUGAAACAUGAAUUUUGUGUCCAAAAUUCAAGACAUGUAAGGAUAGAUGUUAGAACAAAGCUGCCAGGACAGAUAGGUGUGCUUGCACGUGAUCUCCUCUGGGCUUCCUCUCACAUCCUCUUGAAACACUGGACCCUUGAGAAAAAAAAAAAAAAAAAGCCAGUGAAAGCCUUGAGAGUCCUAGGAGGAGCAGUCAGGGCAAUACAAGUUGAAGAAUUUCCACCAAAAGAGAGAUGUUCAGUCUAGCAAGCGCAGGGCCGGCUACGGCUCCGUGGAGGGAUGUUUAGAGAUAGGUAUUUGCUGAGUCAUAGGAAUUGAACCAGGAGUCCUCACUCUGGUCCUCUAGGCCUGCUUAUCUCUCUGUGACCCCAUAGGCUAGUUUCCCUAACCCUUACAAUUGGUCAGUUUUCAAUCCUCCCUAACCCUAUAAAAGAGGCUGUCUUGGCACAUUCUUUUAGAAGAGCAGCUUCAAGACCCUUCGCGAGACCCUCAGAAUAAACCAUCGUGGAACA